UACGAAGGGAGCUAGCGUUGUUCGGAAUCACUGGGCGUAAAGCGCACGUAGGCGGAUGUGUCAGUCAGGGGUGAAAUCCCGGAGCUCAACUUCGGAACUGCCUUGAUACAGCACAUCUGGAGUCCGGAAGAGGUGGGUGGAAUUCCUAGUGUAGAGGUGAAAUUCGUAGAUAUUAGGAAGAACACCGGUAGCGGAAGGCGGCCCACUGGUCCGGUACUGACGCUGGAGGUGACGAAAGCGUGGGAGCAAACAGGAU
rnacentral:rRNA from 1 species